rnacentral:rRNA from 1 species
GACGAACGCUGGCGGCGUGCUUAACACAUGCAAGUCGAACGGAAAGGCCCUGCUUUUGUGGGGUGCUCGAGUGGCGAACGGGUGAGUAACACGUGAGUAACCUGCCCUUGACUUUGGGAUAACUUCAGGAAACUGGGGCUAAUACCGGAUAGGAGCUCCUGCUGCAUGGGGGGGGUUGGAAAGGUUCGGCGGUUGGGGGUGGACUCGCGGGUUAUCCGCUUGUUGGGGGGGUAGUGGCUUACCAAGGCUUUGACGGGUAGCCGGCCUGUGAGGGUGACCGGCCACAUUGGGACUGAGAUACGGCCCAGACUCCUACGGGAGGCAGCAGUGGGGAAUAUUGCACAAUGGGCGGAAGCCUGAUGCAGCAACGCCGCGUGCGGGAUGACGGCCUUCGGGUUGUAAACCGCUUUCGCCUGUGACGAAGCGUGAGUGACGGUAAUGGGUAAAGAAGCACCGGCUAACUACGUG